UUGGUUAUACUCUGUUGGUGGA
rnacentral:siRNA from 1 species